UACGUAGGGUGCAAGCGUUGUCCGGAUUUACUGGGCGUAAAGAGCGCGCAGGCGGUCGUUUAAGUCGAAUGUGAAAGCCCCCGGCUCAACUGGGGAGGGUCAUUCGAUACUGAUCGACUUGAAGGCAGGAGAGGGAAGUGGAAUUCCUGGUGUAGCGGUGAAAUGCGCAGAUAUCAGGAGGAACACCGAUGGCGAAGGCAGGUCUCUGGGCAUUAACUGACGCUGAGGAGCGAAAGCAUGGGGAGCGAACAGG
rnacentral:rRNA from 1 species